UCAUUACACUAAACGUUGAAUUGAGAAUACAACACAGUAUCACUCUCGUGAUUAUUUCUCCCCUGUUUUCAGGUACUUUAUUGAUGAUAAAAAUAGUAAUUUAAAUGUUAUAACUCGCAAACAUGUCAAGAGUGUUUAAGGUGUGUCUUAGUAACGUCGAGGAAGUUAGAGUUAAGUUUGAAGAGAGUAAUAUUAGCCCUGCUCGGUUGAAGUGAAGAAUAGCAUCGUACUGAGAGUAGCUGUCAUCUUAUGUCGAUUGUGAAUGAACAUGUGCGUUGUUAAUAAGAUAUUUUGCUGUGUUAUUUGUAUAAUGGGUUUUCUGUUGUUUUGUAAUGUGUUACUUUUGUGAAAUGAUUACACUAAACGUUGAAUUGAGAAUACAACACCGUAUCACUCUCGUGAUUAUUUCUCCCCUGUUUUCAGGGGCGUAACAUACUCCUGUCUCCUGCCUGGUCAUUUCUCCACAACACAAAUAUUAUAGUGGCGACGAGGUGAUUAAACUACAUAAACGGACAUUGCUUGAAGGGAAGAAUGUUGCUUGUUCUCAGAAGACAGGUCAGUGUGUGUAGAGAGAACACGUUUGACCAGGUAGUCAGGCUUCUACUUCAUCGACCUGGACCAGUACACCAAAGAGGCAGAGGACGCCAAGUUUGGACCAAUUGUGCUGAUGCCCCACUGUAAGAACCUGGAGAUCUUUACUGGUUCUGAGGGAGGUGACGUGGCCACAAAAUGUGCCUGAGACACCUUCCGGCGCCCGGGUCACCUACCGUCACCCAGGACACCUACCGUCACCCAGGACACCUUCCGGCGCCCGGGUCACCUUCCGGCACCCAGGACAACUUCCAGCGACUGGGACACCUUCCAGUGCUAUUGUUGACUAGAGCCAGGGGUUCCCAAACUUUGUCACUUGGGACCCCCUUCCAGCAUUGGGGAACAUCACACGCCACAUCUAUUUCUAUCGGCACAAGCACUGUUCAUGACACAAACUGUUCACACCCUUGUUGUUGUUGGAGAUAAUUUAGCUGGUUUCAUGCUUAUUGUCUUGCAAUUCUAUACAUUUUGCCAUGUCUAAUGUGUACUUAUGUGAUAUUUGAAUGACUAUGAUAUUACAAUGAUAUCUAUGGGCUAAAAAAACAAAAUUGUUUGGGAACCACUGGUCUAGAGAACAGCCAAAGGGUGGUCAAGACAUCUGCUGCAACUUCAUCUUUAGUGUGUCAGCUCUGUUGCACCUGGGAGCUAAAGGUAUGGCACCACACUCCCAACAGUCAUGUAUACUUAAACAUACUUGUAUGCUCAUUGAUGUAUUUAUUAAAGUGGCAAUACACAGUUGAAACAAUAACAAAGCAUACUCGGCCCGUUUUGGUAAAAAGCUGAGGGAUGUGUCUGGAGAAAUGUAAUCACUCUCAAAUUCAUAUACCAAGCUAUGGUGUCACAUCCUGAUCUGUCACCUGUCUUUGUGCUUGUCUCCACCCCUCUCCAGGUGUCAUCCAUCUUACUUAUUAUCCCCUUGGUAUUUAUACCUGUGUGCUCUGUUUGUCUGUUGCCAGUUCGUUUUGUUUGUGAAACCUACCAGCGUACGUUCCCCUGCUCAUGUCUGUUUCUUGCUCCUGUUUUCUAGUCCUUCCCGGUUUUGACCAUUCUGCCCUGAACUUGAGGCUGCCUGCCGUUCUGGACACUUUGCACCCUCUCUGGAUGAGGGUGCAAAGUGCUCCUAUAUUAGAAAUAAACUUUUGUUUCUUUGACACUGUUUGCAUCUGGGUCAUACCUGAAACGUGGUAUAUGGAUGCAAGGACUGACCAUUGCACCUCCUUAAACCCCAUUGGAGGAGACGACCCAAGAUUUCUUGCCUCAGACCUCCUCCAAUGGGUUUUGAGUAGGAUGUGUGAAUUUAAGUAUGCUCCCUCUAAUUCUCUCUCUUUUUCUCUCUUUCUUUUUUUCUUUCUCUCAGAGGACCUGAGCACUAGGGCUAUGCCUCAGGACUACCUGGCCUGAUGACUCCUUGCUGUCCCCAGCCUACCUGGUCAUGCUGCUGCUCCAGUUUCAACUGUUCUGCCUGUGGCUAUGGAACCCUGGUUCUGUGUGGGGAACGUGGGUUCUGUGUGGAGAACGACCAAUAGGUGUUUGUCUUUAUUAACAAUGGCAACGCUAGCUAUUCUCUCUCAUCCUAUUAAAUGUUCCAGCAAGAAACCAUGUUGAUAUAGCAAUGCUUCAAGAAACACAACUGCUCCAAAAGGACUCACAUAGAAUAGAGAACAAUUUGUACAAACUGACUGCUUUUUCAUCAGCCCCAAACAAAACUAAAGGUAUAAUUAUAAUGAUAUAUAAUACACUCAAUAUUACCAUCAUGAGUAAAGGCAAAGACCAAGAAGGCAAUUUAAUUAAUUGUAUCCAUAAAGGAAAGAAAAUUGCCUUUAUUAAUGUGUACGCUCCAAAUUCAUAUGAUCCUACAUUUUUUGAUUCUCUGAACAGCAUAUUGUUAAAAUGACCUGAAUUCCAUUGGGUUAUUGGGACAGACAUGAAUGCCAUUUUGGACAUGGGGGAGAAAUCUAAUAAGACCAACAACAAUUCAACCAAGGCUCUCCAGCAUAAUAUACUCUCUGAUUACAAUCUCAUCCUUGCAAGCACAUAAUCCUAAAGCAAAAGAGUACACUUUCAGAAAUAGACUAUUUACAUAAGUAAUCAGAUCCUUUGCUAUGAGACUUGAAAUUGAGCUCAGGUGCAUCCUGUUUCCAUUGAUCAUCCUUGAGAUAUUUCUACAACUUGAAUUGGUCAAUUCAAUUGAUUGGACAUGAUCUAGAAAGGCACACACCUGUCCGUAUAAGGUCCCACAAUUGACAGUGCAUGUCAGAGCAAAAACCAAGCCAUGAUCUGGGGAAGGGUACCAAAAAAGGUAUGCAGGAUUGAAGGUCCCCAAGAACACAGUGUCCUCCGUCAUUCUUAAAUGGAGAAGUUUGGAACCACCAAGACUCUUAGAGCUGGCCGACUGGCCAAACUGAGCAAUCGUGGGAGAAGGGCCUUGGUCAAGGAGGUAACCAAGAACCCAAUGGUCACUCUGACAGAGCUGCAGAGUUCCUUUGUGGGGCUUGAAUAACCUUCCAGAAGGACAGCCAUCUCUGCAGCACGCCACCAAUCAGGCCUUUAUGGUAGUCUGGCCAGACUGAUGCCAUUCCUCAGUAAAGGCACAUGACAGCCCGCUUGGAGUUUGCCAAAAGGGACCUAAAGCAAUCUCAGACCAUGAGAAACAAGAUUAUCUGAUCUGAUGGCAUUUCAUCAUACAUUCUGUGAUCAAUUUGAAUCUUAACUGAAUUCAUAAUGAUCGAUAACAAUUCAGUCGAUCACCCCUGGAUUCUAUGGCAUGCCCUCCAAGGUUUUAUUAAAAACAAUGCAACUGCAUUUGCAUCUGGGUUGAAUAAGUCACAAUUAAAGAAGCUAUCAGAUUUGGAAAUGUUCUUAGCUGUGUUCAGCAUUCUCAACAAACACUAUUUUCAGACCAGGUAGCUAUUUCUCUUUCCAAUGUCAAGACAUCACUUAAUUUAUUGAUAAGACAGAGAGCAGAAUUUGCCAUCCAUCUAGUUAAACUCAACAGUAACUGGACAGUAAGCUACGCAUUAAUGAUCAAUUAUGUCAUGCCCUGGCCUUAGUAUUUUGUGUUUUCUUUAUUAUUUUGGUCAGGCCAGGAUGUGACAUGGGUGAAUUAUGUGUUGGUUUUGUCUAGGUUUUUUUUUGUAGAUUACUGGUGUUGUGUUUAGUAG